rnacentral:misc_RNA from 1 species
AAGUCGUAACAAGGUUUCCGUAGGUGAACCUGCGGAAGGAUCAUUAACAAGUAUCCAAACGUAAAACCCCCCCGUGAACAAUAUCCGCUUAUCUCCUGACGCUUGCAGCGACUUCCUUGCCCUGUACAUUUUUGUAGCGAGUGAUAGUGGGAUCUCUGUUCUCCGGUGUCUGUCAGUGUCACCGGAAUGCACAGUUAACUGACCGUUUGUGACUGCAAUGAGGACAAACCAGAUCGUUCUGGCCACACGCCAGAAAUUUUCGGACGAGCAACUGGCGGGGCGCAUUGCCCACUGAGGGGCGUUAACGCUGAAUUCCCAAUUCGCCUCAAAACCGAACAACUGUUAACAAUGGAUAUCUUGGUUCUC